GAUGAACGCUGGCGGCGUGCUUAACACAUGCAAGUCGAACGGUGAAAGUGGGAGCUUGCUCCUACUGGAUCAGUGGCGAACGGGUGAGUAACACGUGAGUAACCUGCCCCAGACUCUGGGAUAAGCGUUGGAAACGACGUCUAAUACCGGAUACGAGACGAGAAGGCAUCUUCAUCGUCUGGAAAGAAUUUCGGUCUGGGAUGGACUCGCGGCCUAUCAGCUAGUUGGUGAGGUAAUGGCUCACCAAGGCGACGACGGGUAGCCGGCCUGAGAGGGUGACCGGCCACACUGGGACUGAGACACGGCCCAGACUCCUACGGGAGGCAGCAGUGGGGAAUAUUGCACAAUGGGCGAAAGCCUGAUGCAGCAACGCCGCGUGAGGGACGACGGCCUUCGGGUUGUAAACCUCUUUUAGCAGGGAAGAAGCGAAAGUGACGGUACCUGCAGAAAAAGCACCGGCUAACUACAUGCCAGCCGCCGCCGUAA
rnacentral:rRNA from 1 species